UUUAUAUUUGAAAAAGAAACCUAGCAUCCUGGUUUUCUCUGGGAAAAUCUUAAAGAUUUGCUGUAACUGAGCCUGCAUUUCCUUAACACAAAUCUGCUGGAGCUGAACAUUUGCUGCUGCUUCCUUUAAACUUGACCUCAAUCACGAAGGUCUUCAUCAACUCACUCAGUGCUUUCACAUGUACUUAUACCCAGCACAUGCAUUGGCUAUGACCUUGCAGAAUUUGGCAUUAGCAACCUCAAAAACUCUGGAAAAGGCUUCAUUUUCUCCAGUCUCCUGGGAGAGGAGAGGCACCAUGAAGGCAGACCCAUCCAGAGAACACCUGCGACAGGCUGAGAAAAGCAAAAUAUAAACUAGUUAAUUUGAUCUCCAAGAGUUAAGCGGUUUUAAUAUUACUGACAGUAAUAUCAGCAGUGGUGUUGGAACCCCAUGAUCUCAUGAAUCAUAGAUAGCAACUGCUUACUGGACAUUGAAGCUUUAUGGCCAGCUGCCAAAAAAAUAAAUGCACCUUAAUUUUUAAAUUGAAUUAUAAAGCCAAAAAUAUCCUAUUGCUCUAUUCCUCUUAUUUUGGUGUUUACAUGUGACUUUAUAAUUUCCUUCACUUGAAAGAUUUUAACUUUAAAGGAAACUUUACUCUGAACGUUUAGGACAAUUCAUAGAUAAUCAAAUUGAUUAUCAUGUUUUCAAUGUUAAAUAUUACUUCAUAUGUCUUUUUACAACCUUCAGAAUAAGAAAGCCAGCUAUGAAAUACCAAGUCUUGACUAGUAGUGCCACCUAGCAUCACAAAGAAAAAGUUGUUCAACUACUUUGCAAAGCAUUGGAAAUUUAUCAAAUCAUCUAAUAUACUAUCUCCUUGAUCCUUAAUCCAGAGGAAAAUAAGCAGACAUGAUCAAUUAGAAGAAAUGUACACAAAACCUAUGUAAUUUUAGAGAUAGUAUACUACAUAUUAUGAAUGUUUGUGUUUUAGUAAGAUGUAGUUAUGAGAUGUAGCAGUAAGAUAUAAUUUCUGGUUUGCUGACUGAUAUGCUACCGGUUUUUCCUACAAUUUAAGAAAACAUAUUGGGAUUCAAAUGAAUAAAAAUAAUGUUUGUGUACUGAAA
rnacentral:lncRNA from 10 species